rnacentral:rRNA from 1 species
GUCCACGCCGUAAACGAUGGAUACUUGGUGUUGGAGGUAUUGACCCCUUCAGUGCCGAAGCUAACGCGUUAAGUAUCCCGCCUGGGAAGUACGGUCGCAAGAUUAAAACUCAAAGAAAUUGACGGGGGCCCGCACAAGCGGUGGAGCAUGUGGUUCAAUUCGAUGCAACGCGAAGAACCUUACCUGGGUUUGACAUGUACUGGAAGACUACCAGAAAUGGUGUCGCCUUCGGGCCGGUACACAGGUGCUGCAUGGCUGUCGU